rnacentral:tRNA from 2 species
GCCGUGGUAGCUCAGGGGUAGAGCACACCCUUGGUAAGGGUGUGGUCGAGAGUUCGAUUCUCUUCUACGGCACCA